rnacentral:rRNA from 1 species
UUAUGUUACAUUUCGUUUUUUGUUUACUGGAUCCCAUCACAACUCCGAAGUUGAGUGUGCUUGGGCAAGAGUAGUACUAGGAUGGGUGACCACCGGGGAAGUCCUAGUGUUGCAUCUC